rnacentral:rRNA from 1 species
AUUGAACGCUGGCGGCAUGCCUUACACAUGCAAGUCGAACGGUAACAGGGAGCUUGCUCCGCUGACGAGUGGCGAACGGGUGAGUAAUGUAUCGGAACGUACCAUUCAGUGGGGGGAUAACGUAGCGAAAGUUACGCUAAUACCGCAUAUUCUGUGAGCAGGAAAGCAGGGGGAUCGCAAGACCUUGCGCUGAUUGAGCGGCCGAUAUCAGAUUAGCUAGUUGGUGAGGUAAAGGCUCACCAAGGCGACGAUCUGGUAGCGGGUCUGGAGACGGAUGAUCCGCCACACUGGAACUGAGACACGGUCCAAACUCCUACGGGAGGCAGCAGUAAGGAGUUUUCGGCAAUGGGGGAAACCCUGACCGAGCAACGCCGCGUGAGUGAUGACGGCCCUAUGGGUUGUAAAGCUCUGUUAUAAGGGACGAACAGCUUUGCGAGGAAUGCGCGAGAGUCUGGACGGUACUUUAUCAGAAAGCCACGGCUAACU